rnacentral:rRNA from 1 species
AUUGAACGCUGGCGGCAUGCCUUACACAUGCAAGUCGAACGGCAGCAUGACGUGUAGCAAUACACGUUGAUGGCGAGUGGCGAACGGGUGAGUAAUAUAUCGGAACGUGCCCUGUAGCGGGGGAUAGCCCGGCGAAAGCCGGAUUAAUACCGCAUACGCUCUAGGGAGGAAAGCGGGGGUCGCAAGAACUAGCACUAUAGUAGUGGCCGAUAUCGGAUUAGCUAGUUGGCGGGGUAAAAGCCCACCAAGGCGACGAUCCGUAGCUGGUCUGAGAGGAUGAUCAGCCACACUGGAACUGAGACACGGUCCAGACUCCUACGGGAGGCAGCAGUGGGGAAUUUUGGACAAUGGGCGCAAGCCUGAUCCAGCCAUGCCGCGUGAGUGAAGAAGGCCUUCGGGUUGUAAAGCUCUUUCGGCAGGAACGAAAUGGUCCGUGCUAAUACCACGGACUGAUGACGGUACCUGAAGAAGAAGCACCGGCUAACUACGUGCCAGCAGCCGCCGUAAGAC